UCCGACCCUUGUCACCUCCGCGCGCAGAGCCUAUCCCCCACCUUUCCAGCCCUCCUAACCUCCGCGUGCAGAGCUUCUCCUCCACCUCUCCAGCCCUCAUCACCUCCGCGCACAGCGCCUCUUCUCCACCUCUCCAACCCUCAUCACCUCCACGCGUAGAGCCUCAUAAAGCCCCCCCCUCGAACCCCGCAGUUGGUGCCUCUGUCAUCAUGCACAGCACCCCUUUUCUCUUCACCACUCCACCUCCCAUCACCUCAAUUUCAUCCUCUUACAAGCCGCAUGCCGGCGAAAAUCUCUACCCGAACCUCUGCAACCUAAGGUUAGACAAAGCCUCGUCACCAAAAAUCUAGUUCGGCCAUUUCGAGGGAUGUCGAGAGGUGUCCAAUCAUAUGAGAGGGUGUCGGAUACAGUGUCCCACCGUGUCGAUGGCGUAUCCGUGUUGGACAUCGGCACGACACCGGUACGUCGGCUGUUUUGUCGUGUCCGUGCUUCACAGGAUUGAGCAAGGAUCGGCAUUCAAUUCACAUUCGUAGUGAUGGACUCUUUCAUAGACAAAGACCUGCGUAGGCGGGCAACCAGUGUACAACUUCACUGUAUUGUCAACCUUUAGUUUCUCAGGUACUACUGCGCAGGUGGGCAACUACUGUACCACUUUGCCGGAUUCUCAACCUGAGAAACAACCUUCAAUUUGUCAGAGUUUGGAUGAAGCUCACAGCAGCCCUGGGUUGCAUGCUGCUGGCGGACCAGGAUGAUCAUUUUUGGAUGAUCAUUUUUUUGCAACACAAUUAAGCAUCCAUGUUGAUGGCGAUUGUCGGAUCGACGUUCGGCGG